rnacentral:pre_miRNA from 1 species
AACCCGUAGAUCCGAACUUGUGCUCUCUUCCUGGCUGUGCAAGGUCGUGCCUAUGGGUAGU